GCCUGGGUGGCUCAGUUGGUUGAGUGUCUGACUUCAGCUCAGGUCAUGAUCUCAAGGCUCGUGCUCAUGAGUUCGAAUCCCACAUCAGGCU
rnacentral:tRNA from 1 species